rnacentral:rRNA from 1 species
CUCCCAUCCGGUCAACGGAGUAAGACCCCACCAAGAUAAGGUGGUUGAUAGGCGGCAGGUGGAAGGUCAGUAAUGGCCGCAGCCGAGCCGUACUAAUCGGUCGAGGGUUUAACCAC